rnacentral:rRNA from 1 species
AACGAACGCUGGCGGCAGGCCUAACACAUGCAAGUCGAGCGAAGCCUUCGGGCUUAGCGGCGGACGGGUGAGUAACGCGUGGGAACGUGCCCUUUGGUACGGAAUAGCCCCGGGAAACUGGGAGUAAUACCGUAUGUGGUCGAGAGACGAAAGAUUUAUCGCCAAAGGAUCGGCCCGCGUUGGAUUAGGUAGUUGGCGGGGUAAUGGCCUACCAAGCCGACGAUCCAUAGCUGGUUUGAGAGGAUGAUCAGCCACACUGGGACUGAGACACGGCCCAGACUCCUACGGGAGGCAGCAGUGGGGAAUCUUAGACAAUGGGGGAAACCCUGAUCUAGCCAUGCCGCGUGAUCGAUGAAGGCCUUAGGGUUGUAAAGAUCUUUCAGUGGGGAAGAUAAUGACUGUACCACAGAAGAAGCCCCGGCUAACUCCGUGCCAGCCGCCGCGGUAAUAC